AAGUGUCCCAACUUCUAAUUGCAAAAGCAAAAAUCUUCACAGGGGAAGCAGUAGAAAAGAUCAAGGAAUUUGGCAGUGUAUAUAUUCUGGAAACACAAAUGAUUUUCAUAUUCUUUCAAGGGUGAAUAAAAAGAAAUAUUAAAGGAGAGAAGAAAAGAAAAAAAAAAAAAAAACUUUUACAAUAACUUUAGAGGUUAUACCUAAUCCUGAUGUUUCAGUAAUCGAAUGCUUUAUCAAGCAAAAAGAGGUUUUAAUUUGCUAUUUUAAAAGCUCACGAGCUGGAAAUAGCCUAAUCUAAAGGAAGCAGAGCCAGAUGCAUAGGACAAGAACAGUAAAAGCUCUAACGCAGCUGACUUCCUCUUAUCUUCACUGGUAAGAGGAAAUGAAUGAGUCAGCAGAUCAGAGAGGGAGAAAUGGACUGUGUCACUCCAGUAGUUCUAAAACAUAUGAACCCAAGAAAGUGUCUCAGUUAUCAGGCAAACUUUUAACACUAAUGAAGAAUUUCAUUGGAAGUCAAUGGAAGGAUUUCAAGUCUGAAAGCAUAAUAAGCCAGAGGUUCUUUGUAUGGUGCCAUGCGAUGAACUUGAAAAAGAUAGACGGGUCUCUGUUUUCUUUAAUAAUAUCUGACAGCAUCUUCAAUAAGCACAUGCAUCUCCAUUAACAUUUCUGUACUUCAGUAUUAAUAGAGAGAGUUCCUGCCCUGACAUCUCCUCUCCAAACACAAAUGAGAAGUUGGGAAGCCGUAUGACUCAAGUAAUGAAGUACAUUAAAUCCAGGUACCUGUUUCAAAUCCAACUAUUGUGGAAAUGAUGGAAGAGCCAUCACCAUCAGAUGACUUUCCAACAGGCUCAAUGAGAUGGUUUUGUGGCCUGAGUCCAAUUCUUAAUGGACAAGAGUCCUCAUUACAAAAAGCAACACACAACUGGCAGUAAUUGAUACUCUUUUGGCACUCAACAGAGAAGCGAGGUAUUGAAUGAGCAUGAAGAAUGGACUAACCUUUCACCUCCCCCCUAUGCCAGGUCAGGGAUGAGACAUCUGAUAGAGCUGCAUAGGAAGCUUGGGCUGCUGCUCUCUGUACCACCCUGUUCUGUACAUGAACAAAGGACUUCUUUCUUAACAAACAUCAGGCUGACACUUUUCAUGAACUCUGAAUUUAUGUGAAAAAUUUGGAGGCUUUGGAAGUUAGUGUUUAACCUCAGGAUUCUGCCUAAAGACUACAAACUACUGCUUCACAUAAAGACAUGUCUUUCUGAUUGCCAGAUGCAUGAAAAACUAUUACACUAAUUCCCUGUUAUACAUAUUCAUAUAUAAUGUGUAUGUACAUGCAUAGCAGGAGUAAAUAUAUUAGCUAUUUAUGUGUAUGUAUACAUAAUAGGAGAAGUAAUGCCUUUAGCUAAGGUUGGCUAAUGCUCCUUUGUAAACUUACAUUCAAUUGCUUAUACAGGUUGCCAAAAUUUAACAGUUACAGCUUAAAUUUUCCAUGGAGGGUAUCUGUCUCUAACUGAAUUGUUCUUUGAAAGUUUUCACUGAAAU
rnacentral:lncRNA from 1 species